CACGCUGUAAACGAUGGAUGCUAGCUGUUAUCGGUAUCGACCCCGGUAGUAGCGAAGCUAACGCGUUAAGCAUCCCGCCUGUGGAGUACGGUCGCAAGACUAAAACAUAAAGGAAUUGACGGGGACCCGCACAAGCGGUGGAGCGUGUUGUUUAAUUCGAUGGUAAGCGAAGAACCUUACCCAGGUUUGACAUCCUUGGAAUUUUUACGAAAGUAGAGAGUGCUUUAUUGAACCAAGUGACAGGUGA
rnacentral:rRNA from 1 species